CAGGUCACUCCUACGGGAGGCAGCAGUGGGGAAUUUUGCGCAAUGGGGGAAACCCUGACGCAGCAACGCCGCGUGGAGGAUGAAGUCCCUUGGGAUGUAAACUCCUUUCGACCGGGAAGAUACUGACGGUACCGGAAGAAGAAGCACCGGCUAACUCUGUGCCAGCAGCCGCGGUAAUACAGAGGGUGCGAGCGUUGUCCGGAAUCACUGGGCGUAAAGGGCGCGUAGGCGGCCUUCUAAGUCGAACGUGAAAUCCCCGGGCUCAACCCGGGAACUGCGUCUGAUACUGGAUGGCUUGAGUGUGGGAGAGGAAUGCGGAAUUCCAGGUGUAGCGGUGAAAUGCGUAGAUAUCUGGAGGAACACCGGUGGCGAAGGCGGCAUUCUGGACCAUAACUGACACUGAGAGACGAAAGCCAGGGGAGCAAACGGGAUUAGAUACCCCGGUAGUCCUGGCCCUAAACGAUGAAUGCUUGGUGUAACGGGUAUCGAUCCCUGUUGUGCCGAAGCUAACGCAUUAAGCAUUCCGCCUGGGGAGUACGGUCGCAAGGCUGAAACUUAAAGGAAUUGACGGACUCCUACGGAGGCAGCAGCACCGCCGGUCAACCUCCAACAACG
rnacentral:rRNA from 1 species